UGUGCGCUGACACACUCCUCCUCGAUCCCUCCCUCCUGGAUAUUUCUCCAUUAACCUCCUGCCUCGUUCUUUCUCUCCUCCCACCUCCUCGCACUCGUGCGCACGCCCCGGACUCCUUCCCACUCCUUCCCCUCCCAUUCACUUUCACUGGAGCUCAGUUUUUCCCUCUUUCUUCUGCUGACCGCCUUCGCUUCUGUGCUCAUGUUGGGGGGGCGCCGAGUACGUGUGGCGUCCCCGAACAGCACAGGCCGAGGACCGGCCCCGCAUCGGGCUGCACGCCACGAAGCGCCCGGCCUUUCCUGUCAACAGUUUUUCCCUCCUCCUGCAGGAUCCUUCUGUCCGUGUUUUCCACACAGAUCUGGACUGUACAGGCAAAAACGCUACGGACCGGAUCCUGAGACCGGAUCGUCAAAUCAGAUCCUCAGAACCGAUCCUCACUCCGAAACGGAAGCUGAGAGUUGAAGAAAGGGAGCAGCGCUGGAUGAAUGGAGGACUGAGGAGGAGCGGGGAGCGUGGUCUGCAGGAGAACCGGCUCUCUCCAGAAAAACAGGAGGGGAAGAGGAGAGCGAUGGAGGAGAACGUCUGCAGAGGAACUCCCUAAAUGAUGGAGAAGGAGUAAAGACUCUUCGGUGGGCAGAGAGAGGACUGACGGUUCUGCUUCCUGACGGGAUUUCUAGUCCCUCCUUCAGUCUGACUCGGAUUCUCUGAUCACACUCCAGACGUGAGGAAAUGUCGCACGUCUUUCUCCUCAGGAAUGCUGCAGGGAACUUUGGGAGCUUCCCAUUGGGAUCUAGAGAGCGCGGCGUGCUGCCGGCUGUGAGGUAAAUGCUUCUUCAUGUUUACGACCAGAGCUGCGAUGAAGGCGGAGCUAAGCUCAGUGACGCCUCCUGGUUGUUUCUUCUUCUGCUCACGUCUUCACUUUCCCAUGAUCCUUCACUCCUUCAGCUGGUGGAGCGUUUGUCAUCAUUUGACAUGAUUCAGAGUCGUAGCUGAUGAUAAUCGUCUGUAAUGAAAAGACUAAACAUCAGAUUGCAGGAGGAGUAGCUCCUCACAGCAGGAGCAACAGGGAGGAUCUUUAGGAGGUUCACAGACGACUAUGGAACCAACUUUACAUUUCAAUAAAGGUUUGAAUGUUUGAAUGUGACUGUAAACACAUGAAAAGAUAUCAAAUAAAAAAUGUGUUAUACUCCCAAAACAACACACACACACACACAGCCCAAUAGGCAUUGACAGCGCUGCCCUAGCAACCAAUGGGCAUCAUGCCAAGCCACGGAGGUUGCUUGGUACUGUGUUUCCAUGGCAACGCUCUCUGCCUUUGUAAAUAAGGUAGAGCGGAGUGGGGGUUUUGGAGGAACUGCUCGGCGGUUGUGUGUUCUGUCGGAGCAGAACCGAUCCUCUACGGUCCGGAGAAGAUGUUCCGACCAAAGAGGAGAACCCGGACUCCUGCUGCAGGGUUCUCCUGUCAAAGGAAGUGGGACCAGACUGAGCCCAGUCUUUGGUUCUGGCUUUGCUUAUAAGACGGUUUGACUGCAUUUGGUUUGGACUCGGUUUCAUCCUUUAUGACCAUAAAUGAUGACGACUGCAGUAUUUCUGCUGUGGCGUCAGAACACGGAGAAAAUAACAAACAUUAAUGUUGAUCAAACCAGGGCUGCAAGGACUAGUCGACUAAUCGACAACUAAUCCACCAA